rnacentral:tRNA from 1 species
GUUGUAGCUCAGUGGUAGAAUGUUUGCCUCGCACACCUAAGGCCCUGGCCCUGGGUUUGAUCCUCAGCAUUACA